UUUAGUUCACAUUUAACUUUGCCAGCUAAAAGUUCUAUAAAAAAUAAAUUCCAGAAUGAAGGCUUUCAUUUUUAUGGCACUAAUUGCUGCUCUUGUGGCCACUUCUUUGACUUUGAAAAACGAAAUCUGCGGUUUAACACAUUUUGCUGAUGGUUAUAAAAAACCACUCGUAUCCUGUCUGUCUCUUUUUCAUUAUUAUACAUAUAAUUCGACGCUUAAUAAGUGCGUCAUGUUCGAAUUUGGAGGCUGCGGGGGCAAUGCAAAUCGUUUUGAUUCAAAAUGGAGUUGCGAACAAAAAUGCCUGGAAUGAAGCCAAUGUUGAAAUCGAAAGAUGAUGAAUGAACUGCUUAAUUAAAGCAAUUAAAUCAAAUUAUUGUAUAAAUACAUAUAUACAUUCAGUUGAAUAAUCCCAGCCA